rnacentral:rRNA from 1 species
GACGAACGCUGGCGGCGUGCUUAACACAUGCAAGUCGAACGGAAAGGCCCUGCUUUUGUGGGGUGCUCGAGUGGCGAACGGGUGAGUAACACGUGAGUAACCUGCCCUUGACUUUGGGAUAACUUCAGGAAACUGGGGCUAAUACCGGAUAGGAGCUCCUGCUGCAUGUUGGGGGUUGGAAAGUUUCGGCGGUUGGGGAUGGACUCGCAGCUUAUCAGCUUGUUGGUGGGGUAGUGGCUUACCAAGGCUUUGACGGGUAGCCGGCCUGAGAGGGUGACCGGCCACAUUGGGACUGAGAUACGGACCAGACUCCUACGGGAGGCAGCAGGGGGGAAUAUUGCACAAUGGGCGGAAGCCUGAUGCAGCAACGCCGCGUGCGGGAUGACGGCCUUCGGGUUGUAAACCGCUUUCGCCUGUGACGAAGCGUGAGUGACGGUAAUGGGUAAAGAAGCACCGGCUAACUACGUG